AAAGAAUUAGUUAAUAUAAAUAACAUAAAUAUGUCAAAUUUAAAUAAUUAUAGCUUAUAAUAUUCUUUU
rnacentral:tRNA from 1 species